rnacentral:rRNA from 1 species
AUACGGAGGAUGCAAGCGUUAUCCGGAUUUAUUGGGUUUAAAGGGUGCGUAGGCUGACGUGUAAGUCAGAGGUGAAAUCUCCGGGCUCAACCUGGGAACUGCCUUUGAUACUGCAUGUCUGGAGUUCGGAUGCCGUGGGAGGAAUGGGCAGUGUAGCGGUGAAAUGCAUAGAUAUUGCCCAGAACACCGAUUGCGAAGGCAUCUCACGAAUCCGACACUGACGCUGAGGCACGAAAGCGUGGGGAUCAAACAGGAUUAGAUACCCUGGUAGUCCACGCAGUAAACGAUGAUAACUAACCGUCGGCGAUAGACAGUCGGUGGCCAAGCGAAAGCGAUAAGUUAUCCACCUGGGGAGUACGUUCGCAAGAAUGAAACUCAAAGGAAUUGACGGGG